CAGGAUCCUUUUGCCUCAGCCUCCUGAGCCCCUGGGAUUACAGGUGUGUGCCACCGUACCCAGAAAAGUGGGGACUUUUAAAAAAUUAAUUAUUUAUUUUAAUUAGGUAUAUAUGAUAGCAGAAUGCAUUUUGACUCGUUGCACACAAUCGCAGCACAACUUUACAUGUCUUUGGUUGUACACGAUGCAGCGUCACACUAUAUGUACAGUCAUACAUGUACCUAGGGUCAUGAUGUCCAUCUCAUUCCACCAUCUUUCCUGCCCUCAUGCCUCCUGUCUACCCUCUUCCCCUUUGCCCUCCAUUUUCCCAUGCCUCCCCCCUCCCUGUUAUGGAUCAGCAUCCACUUACCAGAGAGAACAUUCAGCCUUUGGUUUUUGGGAUUGGCUUACUUUGCUUAGCAUUAUAUUCUCCAGCUCCAUCCAUUUACCUGCAAAUGCCAUGAUUUUAUUCUCUUUUAACGCUGAGUAAUAUUCCAUUGUGUCUAUAUACCACAGUUUCUUUAUCCAUUCAUCUAUUGAAGGGCAUCCAGGUUGCUUCCAGUUUAGCUAUUAUGAAUGAGCUGCUAUGACCGCAUUACUAUAAUAUGCUGAUUUUAAGUCCUUUGGGUAUAGAUUGAGGAGUGGGAUAGCUGGGUCUUUUAAUUGGAUCUGCCGGAACCAGCAGUAGACCCAUCUCUUGAAAUUAAAAAAAUUAAAAAGGCUUCUCUCCUCUGCUGAGCUCAGCUCCCAGGAGAAGAGUCUGGCUCUGUAGCCCAAUCUGUCCUCGAGUUUCUGGGCUCAAGCAAUCCUCCUGCUUCAGACUCCCAAGUAGCUGGGACUCUAGGUGUACCCAGCAAGAGCAGCCUUUAUAUUUCUGCCCUGCAUUCUGUUUACUCAUCUCCCCUGGUGGUACCCUCUUCUCAUACUAGUAAGACCUGGGCUGGAGCAUGGUAGGAGAGUGAGCUAAAGCAUAUUCAAUUUUUGAGACUUUAAAAAAAAUUCUGAGAUUUUAAAUAGAUUUGUUUUUUUAAAAAAUUGCUGUGGUUUAGCUGUAUUCCCCAAAUUUAUGUGUUGGAAACUUGAUUUGCCAUAUGCAAAUGUUGGAUGGUG
rnacentral:lncRNA from 1 species